rnacentral:rRNA from 1 species
GAUGAACGCUGGCGGCGUGCCUAAUACAUGCAAGUCGAGCGAACAGACGAGGAGCUUGCGCCUCUGACGUUAGGGGCGGACGGGAGAGUAACACGUGGAUAACCUACCUAUAAUACGGGUAAAACUUCGGGAAACGGGCGCAAAUACGGGAGAAGAUAUUGAAGCGCAGGGUGCAAUAGUGAAAGACGGCGUUGAGGGCACGUAUAGAGGGAUCUGCGCCUGAUUGGCUGGUAGGUAAGUUAACGGGUUACCAGGGCAAGAAUGCGUAGACGAGCUGAGGGGGUGAUCGGCCACCCUGGAGCUUGGCCACGGUCCAGACUCCUACGGGAGGCAGCAGUCGGCAAUGUUACGCAAUAGUCGGAAGCUUGGCGGAGCAACGCCGCGUCUGUUAUGACGGUCUUCGGAUCGUAAAACUCUGUUAUUAGUGAAGAACCACUGUGUCCGUAACCGUGCCCGUCUUGACGGUACCUAAUCAGAAAGCCCCGGCUAACUACGUG